rnacentral:rRNA from 1 species
AACGAACGCUGGCGGCAGGCUUAACACAUGCAAGUCGAACGCCCCGCAAGGGGAGUGGCAGACGGGUGAGUAACGCGUGGGAAUCUACCUAGUUCUACGGAACAACUGAGGGAAACUUCAGCUAAUACCGUAUACGCCUAAGGGGGAAAGAUUUAUCGGAAUUAGAUGAGCCCGCGUUGGAUUAGCUAGUUGGUGGGGUAAUGGCCUACCACGGCGACGAUCUAUAGCUGGUCUGAGAGGAUGAUCAGCCACACUGGGACUGAGACACGGCCCAGACUCCUACGGGAGGCAGCAGUAGGGAAUAUUGGACAAUGGGCGCAAGCUUGAUCCAGCCAUGCCGCGUGAGUGAUGAAGGCCUUAGGGUUGUAAAGCUCUUUCAGUGGGGACGAUAAUGACGGUACCCACAGAAGAAGCCCCGGCUAACUUCGUGCCAGCCGCCGCCGUAAUAC